GGUAUCUUACAAAACACCCUUCCGGAUUACCAAACUUAGACAUAAUGUGCAUCGAUAUGUCAUGUAAAGUGCAAAUGGCUGGAAGUAGAUCAAUUUCUCCUAGCAUUCCAAUGGAAUAUAAUCUAAAUUUAGAAAUGGAUUGAAUAUUUAUAAGUUUACUCUUAUGAGUGUUCGAUUUUCAUCUACUUUUGGUUCGCUCUAGGUGUACAGUU
rnacentral:snoRNA from 1 species